AUCGAUGAAGAACGCAGCUAGCUGCGUUAUUUACCACGAAUUGCAGACGCUUAGAGUGGUGAAAUUUGAACGCAUAGCGCCGUUGGGUUUUCCCUUCGGCA
rnacentral:rRNA from 1 species